CCGGUAAGUAAAUACUGCCGUACUUACACGAGGGGAAGGUAAACAAGUGAGGAAAUCAUUGCUAAUACCGCAUAUACUAAUUUUAUUGCAUGAUAGAAUUGGGAAAGGAGCAAUCCGCUGACAGAUGGGCUUGCGUCUGAUUAGUUAGUUGGCAGGGUAAAGGCCUACCAAGACGAUGAUCAGUAGCCGGACUGAGAGGUUGAACGGCCACAUUGGGACUGAGAUACGGCCCAGACUCCUACGGAAGGCAGCAG
rnacentral:rRNA from 1 species